CGACCGGCGCACGGGUGAGUAACGCGUAUCCAACCUGCCCUUUACUAUGGGACAGCCCGUCGAAAGGCGGAUUAAUACCGUAUGUUGUCAUGUUGAUGCAUAUUUUCAUGACCAAAGGCUUCGGCCGGUAAAGGAUGGGGAUGCGUCUGAUUAGCUUGCCGGCGGGGUAACGGCCCACCGGGGCGACGAUCAGUAGGGGUUCUGAGAGGAAGGUCCCCCACAUUGGAACUGAGACACGGACCAGACUCCUACGGGAGGCAGCAG
rnacentral:rRNA from 1 species